AUUGAACGCUGGCGGCAUGCUUUACACAUGCCAGUCGAACGGCAGCGCGGGCUUCGGCCUGGCGGCGAGUGGCGAACGGGUGAGUAAUACAUCGGAACGUGCCCAGUAGUGGGGGAUAGCUCGGCGAAAGCCGGAUUAAUACCGCAUACGACCUGAGGGUGAAAGCGGGGGAUCUUCGGACCUCGCGCUAUUGGAGCGGCCGAUGGCAGAUUAGCUAGUUGGUGGGGUAAAGGCCUACCAAGGCGACGAUCUGUAGCUGGUCUGAGAGGACGACCAGCCACACUGGGACUGAGACACGGCCCAGACUCCUACGGGAGGCAGCAGUGGGGAAUUUUGGACAAUGGGCGAAAGCCUGAUCCAGCAAUGCCGCGUGUGUGAUGAAGGCCUUCGGGUUGUAAAGCACCUUUGGCGGGAACGAAAAGGACUGUGCCAAUACCACGGUUCGAUGACGGUACCCGCAGAAUAAGCACCGGCUAACUACGUG
rnacentral:rRNA from 1 species